rnacentral:rRNA from 1 species
UACGUAGGGGGCGAGCGUUGUCCGGAGUUACUGGGCGUAAAGCGCACGCAGGCGGUCUGCUAAGUUUGGAGUGACAGUUGGUGGCUUAACUGCCAAAAUGCUUCGAAAACUGACAGACUUGAGGGCUUCAGAGGGACACGGAAUUCCGGGUGGAGUGGUGAAAUGCGUAGAGAUCCGGAGGAACACCAAUGGCGAAGGCAGUGUCCUGGGGAGUACCUGACGCUCAGGUGCGAAAGCCAGGGGAGCGAACGGGG